AUGUAUCGUUGCAUCUUCCGACGGCCGACGAUGUCGUUGCAUCUUCCGACGGCCGACGAUGUCGUUGCGGUGCGUUUGGCUUCACAAUGCACAGCUGAGAAGGCAACUAUGCUGACCGAUAACCUGAAUCUAAGGACUGCCGUCAUGGCUCUUCUGGCAUCGGUGCGUUUCACAGGUUGGUUUUCUUUAUCUCCAAAAGUGCAUCAACGCUGUGGAGUAUUUAUUCUCGUGUUCUUGCAUCAUUCAUUGAAUCCUAUGCGCCACUGUCACACACCUUCAUGCCCGUCCCUGGAUCAAGCGUCAUCCGAGGUGCAGCACCGCCCUGGGCAGGUCGUGAGCACUCCUUCAGUCGUCACCUGCACAUCGGCAGGAAAUCCAGUGCCUUGA
rnacentral:rRNA from 1 species